AGAGUUUGAUCCUGGCUCAGGAUGAACGCUGGCGGCAUGCCUAAUACAUGCAAGUCGAACGCACAGCGAAAGGUGCUUGCACCUUUCAAGUGAGUGGCGAACGGGUGAGUAACACGUGGACGACCUGCCUCAAGGCUGGGGAUAACAUUUGGAAACAGAUGCUAAUACCGAAUAAAACUCAGUGUCGCAUGACACAAGGUUAAAAGGCGCUUUGGCGUCACCUAGAGAUGGAUCCGCGGUGCAUUAGUUAGUUGGUGGGGUAAAGGCCUACCAAGACAAUGAUGCAUAGCCGAGUUGAGAGACUGAUCGGCCACAUUGGGACUGAGACACGGCCCAAACUCCUACAGGAGGCUGCAGUAGGGAAUCUUCCACAAUGGGCGAAAGCCUGAUGGAGCAACGCCGCGUGUGUGAUGAAGGCUUUCGGGUCGUAAAGCACUGUUGUAUGGGAAGAACAGCUAGAAUAGGGAAUGAUUUUAGUUUGACGGUACCAUACCACAAAGGGACGGCUAAAUACGUGCCAGCAGCCGCGGUAAUACGUAUGUCCCGAGCGUUAUCCGGAUUUAUUGGGCGUAAAGCGAGCGCAGACGGUUGAUUAAGUCUGAUGUGAAAGCCCGGAG
rnacentral:rRNA from 1 species